UGUUGCAUCAUCGUCUCAACCGAUUGCAAGAUCUCAAAAGUGUAGGUAGAUAACCUCCUCGAGUUCUUGUGAUUCUGACAAUGGCUUCUCGCGCUGUAGUGUCGAAGUUGUUUGCAAGAAGGGUCAGUUCGGUAUCCCGCCGUUCCCUUUCUAGUUUCCCUGACUAU
rnacentral:ribozyme from 1 species